rnacentral:rRNA from 1 species
AGAGUUUGAUCAUGGCUCAGAAUGAACGCUGGCGGCAGGCCUAACACAUGCAAGUCGAACGAGGUAGCAAUACCUAGUGGCGGACGGGUGAGUAACACGUGGGAACGUACCCUUUGCUACGGAAUAGCCCUGGGAAACUGGGAGUAAUACCGUAUGAGCCCGAGAGGGGAAAGAUUUAUCGGCAAAGGAUCGGCCCGCGUUGGAUUAGGUAGUUGGUGGGGUAAAUGGCCCACCAAGCCGACGAUCCAUAGCUGGUUUGAGAGGAUGAUCAGCCACACUGGGACUGAGACACGGCCCAGACUCCUACGGGAGGCAGCAGUGGGGAAUCUUAGACAAUGGGGGAAACCCUGAUCUAGCCAUGCCGCGUGAUCGAUGAAGGCCUUAGGGUUGUAAAGAUCUUUCAGGUGGGAAGAUAAUGACUGUACCACCAGAAGAAGCCCCGGCUAACUCCGUG